CAGGUGCUGCAUGGCUGUCGUCAGCUCGUGUUGUGAAAUGUUGGGUUAAGUCCCGCAACGAGCGCAACCCUUAUCCUUUGUUGCCAGCGGUCCGGCCGGGAACUCAAAGGAGACUGCCAGUGAUAAACUGGAGGAAGGUGGGGAUGACGUCAAGUCAUCAUGGCCCUUACGACCAGGGCUACACACGUGCUACAAUGGCGCAUACAAAGAGAAGCGACCUCGCGAGAGCAAGCGGACCUCAUAAAGUGCGUCGUAGUCCGGAUUGGAGUCUGCAACUCGACUCCAUGAAGUCGGAAUCGCUAGUAAUCGUGGAUCAGAAUGCCACGGUGAAUACGUUCCCGGGCCUUGUACACACCGCCCGUCACACCAUGGGAGUGAGUUGCAAAAGAAGUA
rnacentral:rRNA from 1 species